rnacentral:rRNA from 1 species
UCGGGUUGUAAAGCACUUUUGUCCGGAAAGAAAACCUUUGGGCUAAUACCCUGAGGGGAUGACGGUACCGGAAGAAUAAGCACCGGCUAACUACGUGCCAGCAGCGCGGUAAUCGUAGGGUGCGAGCGUUAAUCGGAAUUACUGGGCGUAAAGCGUGCGCAGGCGGUUCGUUAAGACAGAUGUGAAGUCCCCGGGCUUAACCUGGGAACUGCAUUUGUGACUGGCGAGCUAGAGUAUGGCAGAGGGGGGUAGAAUUCCACGUGUAGCAGUGAAAUGCGUAGAGAUGUGGAGGAAUACCGAUGGCGAAGGCAGCCCCCUGGGCCAAUACUGACGCUCAUGCACGAAAGCGUGGGGAGCAAACAGGAUUAGAUACCCUGGUAGUCCACGCCCUAAACGAUGUCAACUAGUUGUUGGGGAUUCAUUUCCUUAGUAACGUAGCUAACGCGUGAAGUUGACCGCCUGGGGAGUACGGUCGCAAGAUUAAAACUCAAAGGAAUUGACGGGGACCCGCACAAGCGGUGGAUGAUGUGGAUUAAUUCGAUGCAACGCGAAAAACCUUACCUACCCUUGACAUGGUCGGAACCCUGCUG